rnacentral:rRNA from 1 species
UUAAGCGACUAAGCGUACACGGUGGAUGCCCUGGCAGUCAGAGGCGAUGAAGGACGUGCUAAUCUGCGAUAAGCGUCGGUAAGGUGAUAUGAACCGUUAUAACCGGCGAUUUCCGAAUGGGGAAACCCAGUGUGAUUCGUCACACUAUCAUUAACUGAAUCCAUAGGUUAAUGAGGCGAACCGGGGGAACUGAAACAUCUAAGUACCCGAGGAAAAGAAAUCAACCGAGAUUCCCCAGUAGCGGCGAGCGAACGGGAGCAGCCCAGAGCCUGAAUCAGUGUGUGUGUUAGUGGAAGCGUCUGGAAAGGCGCGCGAUACAGGGUGACAGCCCCGUACACAAAAACAUGCUGUGAGCUCGAUGAGUAGGGCGGGACACGUGGUAUCCUGUCUGAAUAUGGGGACCAUCCUCCAAGGCUAAAUACUCCUGACUGACCGAUAGUGAACCAGUACCGUGAGGGAAAGGCGAAAAGAACCCGGCGAGGGAGUGAAAAAGAACCUGAAACCGUGUACGUACAAGCAGUGGGAGCACGCUUAGGCGUGUGACUGCGUACCUUUGUAUAAUGGGUCAGCGACUUAUAUUCUGUAGCAAGGUUAACCGAAUAGGGAGCCGAAGGAAACCGAGUCUUAACUGGGCGUUAAGUUGCAGGGUAUAGACCCGAAACCCGGUGAUCAGCCAUGGGCAGGUUGAAGGUUGGGUAACACUAACUGGAGGACCGAACCGACUAAUGUUGAAAAAUUAGCGGAUGACUUGUGGCUGGGGUGAAAGGCCAAUCAAACCGGGAGAUAGCUGGUUCUCCCGAAAGCUAUUUAGGUAGCGCCUCGUGAAUUCAUCUCCGGGGUAGAGCACUGUUUCGGCAAGGGGUCAUCCGACUUACCAACCCGAUGCAAACUGCGAAUACCGGAGAAUGUUAUCACGGGAGACACACGGCGGUGCUAACGUCCGUCGUGAAGAGGGAAACAACCCAGACCGCCAGCUAAGGUCCCAAAGUCAUGGUUAAGUGGGAAACGAUGUGGGAAGGCCCAGACAGCCAGGAUGUUGGCUUAGAAGCAGCCAUCAUUUAAAGAAAGCGUAAUAGCUCACUGGUCGAGUCGGCCUGCGCGGAAGAUGUAACGGGGCUAAACCAUGCACCGAAGCUGCGGCAGCGACGCUUAUGCGUUGUUGGGUAGGGGAGCGUUCUGUAAGCCUGCGAAGGUGUGCUGUGAGGCAUGCUGGAGGUAUCAGAAGUGCGAAUGCUGACAUAAGUAACGAUAAAGCGGGUGAAAAGCCCGCUCGCCGGAAGACCAAGGGUUCCUGUCCAACGUUAAUCGGGCAGGGUGAGUCGACCCUAAGGCGAGGCCGAAAGGCGUAGUCGAUGGGAAACAGGUUAAUAUUCCUGUACUUGGUGUUACUGCGAAGGGGACGGAGAAGGCUAUGUUGGCCGGGCGACGGUUGUCCCGGUUUAAGUGUAGGCUGGUUUUCCGCAAAUCCGGAAAACUAAGGCUGAGGCGUGAUGACGAGGCACUACGGUGCUGAAGCAACAAAUGCCCUGCUUCCAGGAAAAGCCUCUAAGCAUCAGGUAACAUCAAAUCGUACCCCAAACCGACACAGGUGGUCAGGUAGAGAAUACCAAGGCGCUUGAGAGAACUCGGGUGAAGGAACUAGGCAAAAUGGUGCCGUAACUUCGGGAGAAGGCACGCUGAUAUGUAGGUGAAGCGACUUGCUCGUGGAGCUGAAAUCAGUCGAAGAUACCAGCUGGCUGCAACUGUUUAUUAAAAACACAGCACUGUGCAAACACGAAAGUGGACGUAUACGGUGUGACGCCUGCCCGGUGCCGGAAGGUUAAUUGAUGGGGUCAGCGCAAGCGAAGCUCUUGAUCGAAGCCCCGGUAAACGGCGGCCGUAACUAUAACGGUCCUAAGGUAGCGAAAUUCCUUGUCGGGUAAGUUCCGACCUGCACGAAUGGCGUAAUGAUGGCCAGGCUGUCUCCACCCGAGACUCAGUGAAAUUGAACUCGCUGUGAAGAUGCAGUGUACCCGCGGCAAGACGGAAAGACCCCGUGAACCUUUACUAUAGCUUGACACUGAACAUUGAGCCUUGAUGUGUAGGAUAGGUGGGAGGCUUUGAAGUGUGGACGCCAGUCUGCAUGGAGCCGACCUUGAAAUACCACCCUUUAAUGUUUGAUGUUCUAACGUGGACCCGUGAUCCGGGUUGCGGACAGUGUCUGGUGGGUAGUUUGACUGGGGCGGUCCCCUCCUAAAGAGUAACGGAGGAGCACGAAGGUUGGCUAAUCCUGGUCGGACAUCAGGAGGUUAGUGCAAUGGCAUAAGCCAGCUUGACUGCGAGCGUGACGGCGCGAGCAGGUGCGAAAGCAGGUCAUAGUGAUCCGGUGGUUCUGAAUGGAAGGCCAUCGCUCAACGGAUAAAAGGUACUCCGGGGAUAACAGGCUGAUACCGCCCAAGAGUUCAUAUCGACGGCGGUGUUUGGCACCUCGAUGUCGGCUCAUCACAUCCUGGGGCUGAAGUAGGUCCCAAGGGUAUGGCUGUUCGCCAUUUAAAGUGGUACGCGAGCUGGGUUUAGAACGUCGUGAGACAGUUCGGUCCCUAUCUGCCGUGGGCGCUGGAGAACUGAGGGGGGCUGCUCCUAGUACGAGAGGACCGGAGUGGACGCAUCACUGGUGUUCGGGUUGUCAUGCCAAUGGCACUGCCCGGUAGCUAAAUGCGGAAGAGAUAAGUGCUGAAAGCAUCUAAGCACGAAACUUGCCCCGAGAUGAGUUCUCCCUGACUCCUUGAGAGUCCUGAAGGAACGUUGAAGACGACGACGUUGAUAGGCCGGGUGUGUAAGCGCAGCGAUGCGUUGAGCUAACCGGUACUAAUGAACCGUGAGGCUUAACCU